rnacentral:rRNA from 1 species
ACUACGGGUGGCAGCAGUGGGGGAUAUUGCACAAUGGGGGAAACCCUGAUGCAGCGACGCCGCGUGGGCGAAGAAGGAUUUCGGUAUGUAAAGCCCUAUCAGCAGGGAAGAAGAAAGGACGGUACGUGAGUAAGAAGCAACGGCUAAAUACGGGCCAGCAGCCGCGGUAAUACGUAUGGUGCAAGCGGUAUCCGGAUUUACUGGGUGGAAAGGGAGCGCAGGCGGCACGGCCAGCCUGAUGUGAAAGCCCGCGGCCCAACCGCGGGACGGCUUUGGCAACUACCGGGCUGGAGUGCCGGUGAGGUCGGCGGAAUUCCUAGUGUAGCGGUGACAUGCGUAGCUAU